rnacentral:rRNA from 1 species
GUGCCAGCCGCCGCGGUAAUACAUAGGUUACAAGCGUUAUCCGGAUUUACUGGGCGUAAAGCGAGCGCAGAUGGAUUUGCAAGUCUGAUGUUAAAGGUUAUUGCUUAACAAUAAUUUGCAUUGGAAACUACAAUUCUAGAGUGUGAUAGGAAGUUUUAGAACUCCAUGUGGAGCGGUGGAAUGCGUAGAGAUAUGGAAGAAUACCAGUGGUGAAAACGAAAACUUAGGUCAUAACUGACAUUUAGGCUCGAAAGCGUGGGGAGCAAAUAGGAUUAGAUACCCUAGUAGUCCAUGCUGUAAACGUUGGUUGUUAGAUAUUUAUGUUUUUUUACAUAGGUGUCGUAGUUAACACGAUAAACAACCCGCCUGGGUAGUACAUUCGCAAGAAUGAAACUCAAACGGAAUUGACGGGGACCCGUACAAGUGGUGGAGCAUGUUGCUUAAUUCGACAAUACACGUUAAACCUUACCUAGGUUUGACAUCCUUCGCAAAGUCAUAGAGAUAUGAUGGAGGUUAACGAAGUGACAGGUGGUGCAUGGUUGUCGUCAGCUCGUGUCGUGAGAUGUUGGGUUAAGUCCCGCAACGAGCGCAACCCUUAUUAUUAGUUAGUUUAUCUAAUGAGACUGCUAGUGCAAACUAGAGGAAGGUAGGGACGACGUCAAAUCAUCAUGCCCCUUAUGCCUAGGGCUGCAAACGUGCUACAAUGGUUAUUACAAAGUGUUACGAAAUCGUAAGAUCAAGUCAAUCACAAAAAGAUAAUCUCAGUUCGGAUCGAAGGCUGCAAUUCGUCUUCGUGAAGUUGGAAUCACUAGUAAUCACAAAUCAGCCAUGUUGUGGUGAAUACGUUCCCGGGUCUUGUACACACCGCCCGU